CCCGCCAUUGGUACAUCCAUUGGCCCGGAUGAUCCAGUGCUGAUGACAGGAAAAUUUCAUAACAACAGCUGCCUACUGGAUAAGGAAGCUGCAAUCCGGAAUGGAGAAGUCAACUCUUUCAGGAAUGCGGUUUAGAUUUUUACGGCCGUUUUCAGCUGUUCU
ncrna:unclassified sequences DTF2800 RNA